ACAGCCCGAACCAGGAAGAUGAUG
rnacentral:siRNA from 1 species